UUGUUGUAAAGGGACAGAGUUAUUUCCAAUCCAACUUUAUUCACGUUGGUGUUAAAUCUACACACGUUGACAUCCCAAAACUUUAGGCGAUAAUUAUUACACAAUAUAUUUCAGCAUCGGACUAACUAGAUUUAUAUAUGCUUGGGGAAUUGUAACUUGUUAUAAUGUGGAACAUUGUUAUUUUUAUUGCAGCAAGAGCGAAAAUGAGACACAAGAAUUCCGGCAGAUACAAACAGAAGUGAUGGAUUUAUUGAGGAUCACAUCAAAUAAUCCAGGAGCUGUGAAUCAGUAAACAAAAAUGGAUAAAGUCGAAACCAAAGAAGAAGAUUCUGAAAUAAUCUCGAAACAUGUACGCGUUUUCUGAAAGAAAUUAAUAAAGAGUAUUGAUUAAAUGUC